rnacentral:rRNA from 1 species
UUGACCUCGGAUCAGGUAGGGAUACCCGCUGAACUUAAGCAUAUCAAUAAGCGGAGGACAAGAAACCAACAGGGAUUGCCUCAGUAACGGCGAGUGAAGCGGCAAGAGCUCAAAUUUGAAAUCUGGCGCC